rnacentral:piRNA from 5 species
UGGUGUAUGUGCUUGGCUGAGGA